GGAGAGUUGGCCGAGCGGCUUAAGGCACACGCUUGCUAAGCGUGCGUGGGGCAACCCACCAUGGGUUCAAAUCCCAUAUUCUCCG
rnacentral:tRNA from 2 species